rnacentral:tRNA from 1 species
GGGGAUGUGGCUCAGCGGUAGAGCGCUCGCCUAGUAUGUGUGAGGCCCUGGGUUCGAUUCUCAGCACCACA